CGAAGCAGUGAACUUAAGCCCCAGUAAACGGCGGCCGUAACUAUAACGGUCCUAAGGUAGCGAAAUUCCUUGUCGGGUAAGUUCCGACCCGCACGAAAGGCGUAACGAUUUGGGCACUGUCUCAACAACAGACUCGGUGAAAUUGUAAUUCCGGUGAAGAUGCCGGAUACCUGCGACAGGACGGAAAGACCCCAUGGAGCUUUACUGUAGCUUGACAUUGGGUCUUGGUACUACAUGUACAGGAUAGGUGGGAGGCUUUGAAACCAGGACGCCAGUUUUGGCGGAGCCAUCCUUGGGAUACCACCCUUGUAGUACUGGGACUCUAACCAUAGGCCAUGAAUCUGGUCUUGGGACACUGUCAGGUGGGCAGUUUGACUGGGGCGGUCGCCUCCCAAAAGGUAACGGAGGCGCUCAAAGGUUCUCUCAGUACGGUCGGAAAUCGUACGUAGAGUGUAAAGGCAAAAGAGAGCUUGAUUGCAAGACAUACAGGUCGAGCAAGGAUGAAAAUCGGACUUAGUGAUCCGGUGGUUCUGCGUGGAAGGGCCAUCGCUCAACGGAUAAAAGCUACCCUGGGGAUAACAGGCUUAUCUCCCCCAAGAGUCCACAUCGACGGGGAGGUUUGGCACCUCGAUGUCGGCUCAUCACAUCCUGGGGCUGUAGUAGGUCCCAAGGGUUGGGCUGUUCGCCCAUUAAAGUGGUACGCGAGCUGGGUUCAGAACGUCGUGAGACAGUUCGGUCCCUAUCCGUCGCAGGCGUAGGAAAUUUGAGAAGACCUGUCCUUAGUACGAGAGGACCGGGAUGGACGUACCUCUGGUGUACCAGUUGUCCUGCCAAGGGCAUGGCUGGGUAGCUAUGUACGGAAUGGAUAAGCGCUGAAAGCAUCUAAGCGCGAAGCCAACUUCAAGAUAAGAUUUCCCACCGCAAGGGUAAGACCCCAGAAAGACUAUCUGGUUGAUAGGUCGAAGGUGUAAGUGCAGCAAUGUAUUUAGCUUAUCGAUACUAAUAGGUCGAGGACUUGACCAA
rnacentral:rRNA from 1 species